GGCGUUCCUGGGCCUUUCCGCUGUUGUCGCUGCCGCCUCCGCCAUCUUGUGGGUGAAGGAGCCGGCCUCGGCUGGCGAGGUCUGCGAAUCCGUCGCCAUCCGGCCGCAGCCUUGGUGACUCUUCUUGGAGGUUGAGCCCGGGGGACCCUCCCCGACAUGAGAGCCAAGUGGCGAAAGAAGCGGAUGCGCAGGCUGAAGCGCAAAAGGAGAAAGAUGAGGCAGAGGUCCAAGUAGACGUUGCUUACAGUGCUACAGGAGCUGCAAAAUGGAGCAUGGAAGGAUGGAGCUUGGGGAGCUGACUUCCAGAUAAUGCCUUCUAUUUGCUGCUGCUAGAAGACUCCUUGCCUACCUUCAGGAGGGUCCAUCUUAAAGUCUAGGAGCUAUGAUUCUUCAAGGCCGGUGCCCUGAGCUUUACUAUUCUGGACUCAUCCUCUUUGUGGCUUGAUGUAGCAACUGUGUAAAAUAAAACCCUUUUGUUGGGAAUUCAGCACAUUUUUUCCUACCAAAUGUUGAAUCUUCAGUAAAGGGUUUUGAAAUGGUAGAGACUCA